GUGAGCUGUGUGAUGGAAAACCUUUCUGUACGGUUCGCACAGCCCUCAUUGCAUGCAAGGGGAGCUCGCUCGAUUUGCAAAUUGGUCCGACUCAUAAUUCACUUCUAACUCCGU
rnacentral:ncRNA from 1 species